GACGUAGGGCGCGAGCGUUGUCCGGAUUUAUUGGGCGUAAAGAGCGUGUAGGCGGCCAUACAGGUCAGCUGUGAAAACUCGAGGCUCAACCUCGAGACGUCGGUUGAAACCGUGUGGCUAGAGUCCGGAAGAGGAGAGUGGAAUUCCCGGUGUAGCGGUGAAAUGCGCAGAUAUCGGGAAGAACACCCGUGGCGAAGGCGGCUCUCUGGGACGGUACUGACGCUGGGACGCGAAAGCGUGGGGAGCGAACAGG
rnacentral:rRNA from 1 species